AGAAAAGAAAGAAGGGAAACACCACAUUCACACGCACAAAUACACGCAGAGACCCAGGAAUCCUAACCAAAAACAUUCUCUUAAAUUCCAGAGUUAGAUCUAGCGAAUUUAUGUGAAUGUAAGCAGUGACAAAUAGUAGUAUGAGCAGCACUGGACUGGGGGGCAUUUCGCACUACCACCACCGGUUAUGAAUCCCACUGCUGCUGACCCAGCAUCUCCGUCUCCUCCUCCGCCGCAGCCUCCGCGUUCCUCCUUCAGCUGUGACCGCUACCUUCAGGAACAAUUUACUGGUUUCUGCCCCUCCUGCCUCUGCGAGCGCCUCACCACUCUCGACCAAUCCUUCCUCCUCUUCUCGCCGCCCCUCCGCCUCCUCCUCCUCCGCUGCCGCCGCCCUUAAAUCCGUCUACUCCUCCUCUUCCUCCAAGCCCUCCACCUCCUUUCUGCAUUUCAAACUCUGCUAGGAUGUUUGUAUAGGCUAUAAUUGUUAUGUUAUCAGCUUCAUCCUUUAUCCUUUCCUCUUGAAUUUGAAUAAGAGAAACAGCCGACUUGUGGAAUCCAAGGGGACUGCACCUGGGGAAGUCAUUAAAUUGGAAGAGGUUUCUUCCGUUUUUGAACAAGGAAAAAAAAAGGAGCAGGUUUGAAUUCGGUGAAUUCGGAAUUCACCGAAUUCCGAAUUCAAUUCGGCAUCAAAUUCGAAAUCGGAAUUCCCCAUAUCGAAUUCGGUCGGGAAAAUUUAUGUCAAAAUUUCGAAAAAUUUUGAUUUCAAACUUCCGAUUUACCGAAUUCGAUUUCGAUGCACAGCCCUACUUCAUGGGGUGUGUAGUAGGGAUAUGUGCAAUAUAUUCACAAGGGUGCAUGUUAGCAAGGUUAAUAUUGUCUAAAAUAAAUGGCUGCUUUAAUUUUGGUUGGGGUCAACAGGGCAGACUUGAAGGUGCAGGUAGAAGAUAACAACAACAUGCUGGAAAUCAGUGGAGAUAGGGUGGAGCGCCGCCGUCGAAGCUACCGGAGGAGGUUCCGGCUGCCGGAAAAUGCGGAUUUGGAGGGAAUCAAAUGUGGGCUUGAGAAUGGAGUCUUAACUGUGACUAUCCCCAAGAAAGUGACUCGGGAGACUUCCCAGAAAUGUUAGAUACAUAGAUAUUGCUUAGUUUAAUUAUCUCCACUUGUUGCUUGCUUGUUUUCUAGGUAAUCAAUCACUCAUGUAAUGUCAUUUGGGACGAAGUGUUAGUUCGUGUGUUAGUGAUUGUACAUGCGCGAAAAACUUUGCAAUAAAUAAGGAACUUGAAUUUCAUGAGAUCAAUACUAGAUUACUCAUUU
rnacentral:lncRNA from 1 species